AGAACACCUGUUGCUGCCUCCUCAUUAUUCCUCCCUCUAGCCACAGCCUAGAACUUGGAAGCCAAGGUCUCCCUCAUCUCUCUCCCAACAUCAACACUGUCCGCUGGUGCUCGCAUCUCCCUGUCCUCUUGUGCACGUGCGUCCUGGUACACGAAUUCCUUCUCCCUUGCGUGUGUCGGUUGCCUCCACCGCUGGUCGUGCGCCGCUGUCAACCUUCCUCACCGGUCACGGCUCCUUGCCGGUCGUCCCUGACCCCACCUUGGCACAGCGCCGCUGGGAGCGCGGUCUGGGCAAGCCUUCGGGUUGCGUCGUGGGAUGCCGCGGCUCGGUCAAGUGAUGUUGGGGAACCCUAGGUGUCGUUGGGAUCAGCUCGCCGGGAUGCGCGGAUUUCGUCACUGGAUGGGAGAAUCCGCCGCUGGGUCGCUGUUCGCACGGACACCGUCGAUGCCAUGGUGCUCCAAGCUACAAAUCCUGGUGAGAACCUCCUUCUCGGAUCCGCCUCCAUCUUCUAACUGCGUAGCACCCAUCGUGGUGAGGGAUCGUGCGCCGGGGGUGACGAUCGUGCGCUUGCCGGCGAUGGCAUGACAUGGAUUGAGCGGCGCCGCCGCGUCUGUACGCGGAUGAGGAAAACAUGUGCCCAGUCGUUGGAUCGAAAGGGUGCGGCUAGGAUUAGAAGGUAGCUUACCCAUUCGUUUAAGAGAACCCUGACCAUAGAUCUGCGAUCCGAUGAAUAUGAUUUGAUCUCGGUUAUUUAGGAUCCGAGCCGUAGAUAUAGGAUCUAGCGGCUAUCAUUGUGUCCUGGUUCCGGGGGGAUUGGAUCUAAUCCUAAGCGUUGAACCCAGAUCCAACGGCUUUAGUCACCCGAUACCCCAUUGGUUGUGGUAUUUUGAUAAAGAUCCCAUGGAACCUUUAUAAAUCAACCCACAGUCCUCGAAGCCUAUUCACUGAGUCUUAGGAAGCUUGCGCAGAGGCCCCUGUCUUCUCUGGAAAUUGAGGCAGUCCAGACAGUGAGAAAAACCUAUAAAAUCAUUUAGAAAAUGAAUUUUUAAUAUGAAAACAAUUCCUAGAACUUGUGUAAUUCAUAGAAAAUUCAUAUUAAGUCCAAAUUAAUUCAUUCCAGUUUCUAUAAUUUUGUAAUAUUAUUUUUUAUCACCUAGUGUCUCUGUUGUGACAUGAAAGACACAAUAAAAUUGAUCUCCUAAUUAAUCUUGUAUCAAAUACAUAAAACCUUUGGAAAUUCAUAACUUCCUCAGUUUAACUCCGAAUUGAACCGUUCCAGUUGCGUUAGCUUCAUAUGAAUAUUUACUAUGCAAUAACAGCAUUUAUUGUACCAUGUCUCAUUCUUUUAUAAGUAGAUCUUUUUUAACUUUUGUUGGUUAGUCUUGUUAAUCUACUUAUCAUUAUAAUCUACUAAAAUAUGAUCUAUGGUCAAUUUAUAAUUUAGAUUAAAGUUCAAUUAAUUACUACUUUAGGUUAUCUUUUCUCUGGAGUUAUAAAAUAAACAUAGAACCUAGUUUUAAUCAUUUAAUCACAUCAUAACUUGAUGAUCGUAGCUCCGAUUUUAGUGGUUCUCGAUCCCAUGGUCUCGUAGCGACGCGUAGAUCAUUAUUAUGCAGUUUAUUCUUAUGUUUGGUGUGAUGUUAAUUUUGUCUAUACCAUGUUUGUUUGUAUUGCUAUGACUAGCGUGAGGUAACGAGUCACCUAAGGAUCAUCCCGGUACCUGGAAUCUCAAGUCCCAGGCAAGGUUUGCCCUUGACCACUUUUUACUCAAUAAUGUUCUUUAUUAUCACUUAUUAAUGCAUAGGUUUACUUUUUAUGGGACCCAAUAGGUCACCCAAACUGGUUAUCCUUUUACCUUGUUUAUCCCUAAAUCACAUGGGUAGUUUUGUUAUUGCUUUACAUGGUUUUGGGUUAAUAUUUCAUUAUAUCCAUGUUCCAAUUAUUCUGUUAUUUUAUUUAUGUUCAUGUCAAGAUCAUUAUAUUUUUAAUUGGAACAUGGAGCUUAACUUGAGAAACACGUGGCACCACAAGGGUGGAAUGGGAUGCCCUUGGCUAACUAAUUAGGAAAGCUAGUGGAAGACUACCUUACCCGAAAGGGUCAAGGGCAGUAGGGGAGUAGGCACGCAGGGAGGUUCUCGGGUUGAUUUUGCUACGAGGGCGGUCAGACGAGGGAUUCUUGCAAUUGCUCUUCCCAGAAACUGUAGCGGGUUUUCGGAAGCUAGUGGAACUUUGUAAAGGCCUCAUAGUGGAUCCCUAGCCAUUCACCUCGGUAGUGUCUAAGGGUCUAGCUAACCCUGGCGACAUGGGAUACACGACUUGUGGGUACAGGGUACAACCUCUACAGAGUGUAAAACUGGUAUACUAGCCGUGCUCGCGGUCAUGAGCAGCUCAGGACUCUCGCAUGAUUAAAUUAUGGAACUAAAUUCAAUUUGUCAUUUGCAUUGCAUGGGAUUUAUUAUUAAUUUUUUUCUAUUAUUAUGGUUUGAUAUCUACUAUACUUAGUAACUGCUAAUAAAAUUUUGACCAACUUUAAAAGCAAUGCUCAACUUUAACCAUUCUCUUGGGUAAGUCAUACACUUCACAUGAGCUCCCACCUUUGGCGAGUUCAUGCACAUUAUUCCCCGCAACUUGUUGAGCUAUGAAUGUAUGUGAGCUCACCCUUGCUGUCUCACACCCCCACAGGUCAAGAACAGGUACCACAGGAUGAGACACAUGGAGGAUGUUGCAAUGUGUUCGUGAGAGGUCUAGGUCGUCGUCUCCCGGUCAACUUUGGGUUGCUGGAUCGUUGUCUCCUUUCGAUGUAAAUAUUUAUUUAUUUUGUACAGAACUCCUAUUAUAUAAUAAAGUUGUGACAUUCGUUUCUGUACCACUAUUCAUCAUGUGUGAGACUUGGUCCUAGCACACCUGGUGUUUAUGUUCGCGCCCGGGUCCCUAAAACCCGGGUGUGACAGAAGUGGUAUCAGAGGAAUGUUUACUGUAGGACAAAACCUAGAUAGAAUUGGACAACCAAUACUUACUUACCUUUGCUACUCUGAUCCUUUCUAAACUUUUCUUAAUCUUUUCUCAUCUAUUUCUGCUUUACUCUGAUUAUUCUUACCUUUUCUCUUCUAAAGACAAAAGUGGAUUUCACACUUUGAAAUCCUGUGUCUAAAGUGACUUUAGGAAUAAGAGAUCUACUCUUAGGAACAAAAUCAAAACUAUUUUCGUAAAUAUUUGUAUACCUGAAUGUUUGUUCUUGUGAUGCAUGUCAGAUUUGGAUUUUGGAUUGAGUGUGAUGAGUUGUGGAGUAAUGUCCACAAUUACAUCUACAUAUACGUAUAGGCAUAAAUAUAAAUAAAUAAAAAUCAUAAGAUGACUAUACAAACUAAGAAUACCCCCAUUAAAAUAUAUCUAGUUUAAUAGAUCCAUCUUAUCUUGCAAGAUUCUCUCUUAUCUUAAUAGAUUCAUCUUAUCUUGAAAGAUUUGUCUUAUCCUAACCACUUUACUUAACUCAUCCUAAAGUAAAAAUCAGGACCUAAUCCAAAAUAAUGAGAUAAGAUCUGAGUUAUAUUUGCGUGACUAAAACCACUUGACUUAUCCCACCAUGAUCAUGAUCUAACCCAAAUUAAUUGGAUCUUGUCUAGUCGAAGCUAGUCAUACUUAAAUCUGAUCUAAUGUGAUAGAUUAAUAUAACCUAACGAAGGCUAACCUCAAGUUGAGCUAAUCUAAUGUAAGUUGCUUAACAGGAAAGUUAAUACUGAUAAAAUGAAUUAGACUCUACUCCUAUAAAAUAUGUUUUAAUUCACUCUACACUAAAUUAAGAACGAGAGACCAACUCGGCCCUAUGCAACUACCUUAACCAUUCGAUGGUUGCAUAACCCAUCUGUUUUAACCUAACAGAGAUUCUGAACUACCUGCACCAUAUAAUUCAUUAUAUCUCAAAAGAUUCUAACAUACCCUAAUAAUAUUUAGUCUACCCUGGUAGAUCUAUCUAACUUAAACUAGUCUAAUCUAGUUAUAUCCAAUCUAAUCUGGACCCUACCUAAUAUAAUAUGAUCCAAUCUAAAGGGAGUGACUUAAACAAGUUAGUUAAUACUGUUAACAUAGAUUAGACCAUAUUCCUAUGAAUCGGUUUUAAACCUAAAUUGGUGUUUUAGACCAACUCGUCCGUGAAACCACGACCUGGCCUAUGUUAUAGGUUGCCCAACCCAUUUAUCCCAAAAACAAAGUAAAACUUUGUUUAAUCUAUCUACACCAUGUACCCGCAAUUGUUACCCCAACUUAGAUAAUGACAUCUAACACACAACCGAUGGUCCCUAAAACAGACCCAAGAAGGUUAAUCUCGACAAUGAACGAUAUGUGUAGAAACAGAUCUCCAGAUAAAUCAAGGUCCACCACCCGGAAUAAAAGUGUUGGGGACUUGUUCUCAAAUGCUAUGAAUUAAGAACAAGGCAACAUAAAAUGUUAAAUGAAAUUGUCCUUCAUCCGCGAAGCAUUAUUCCUUUGAGGAUAAUGAAUCCUGGACGAAGGUUGAUGAGAAUCUUAUUACGAAGUUGAACCUUCGUAAUAAACUUUUAAUAAGCGUUAUAAAAUAAUACAAAAUAAAAGGUAUAAGAUGGAUAAAUGUCUCACAGAUACAUCAUAUCAUAUUUACCUAAUAUAUUGAAUUAUUAAAUACAAUAAUACCUAUGCCUUGACAAAGGUUGAAUUCCGAAAGAUGCAAUUGCAAAUGCCAGAAUGCGUGAACAGUAACGGAAUAUUGUUCACUAUUUAUAGGCACAGGACGCAGCCUGUGAGGAAUUACAAGUAUGCCCCUUAUAAAAACUUACAACAUUGACUCAGACCUUUAUGGACUAAAAGGUCAUUCUAUCUUUAAGUCGGUUUGUAAUGCCGAAGCUCUGCGAAGAGGCACCUUCGGCUAUCUUGUACGAACAGCUUCAUCCGAGGAUUACUUCUUUCUAUAAGACCUUCGGCGACGAAGCAUAGACCCAACAGUAGCCCCUUUCGCGGUGCUAGAUCGUUUUUCGUAACGAGCUUGAUCCGUGAAAAAAGUUUCCUAAGCUUCGGAGCGCCGAAGGUCUCAAAAAACACCUUCCCUGAGCUCGUUGUCGAGAAACGAUCGGAUUUCCCUGCGCGCAGCGGCCCCACCUUGCAGAGUUACUGUUCGGUCACUGCGGUCCACCGUACAGCGAGUGCGAGCGGGUGUCCGCCUGGUGUAAAACUCCUGGCGCUUCGCCUUCUUACCUGCGGCACUAUAUAAACAGACGAGUAGGUGUGAAGUUACCACAGCAUUUACUGCUAUUUGCACUGUUUUGCUGCCAAAAUUUUUAACCAUCGCCGAAGCUUGUUUGUCAGAAUUGAACGAAGCUCCAACCUGAAACCUGCUUUGGAGAAAAAAGUAUUAAAGUUUCACAAGUUCAUAGUUAAAUGGCCAGAGUCCGCUCUACCGCUAGGGUUGAGCGUGAGGGGGACGAGACUGAAGCUUCGGAGACUGUCCCUAUCUCCGAAGCUAUGCAACGAUCCGGGUUAGUGACUUCGGAGAAGAUUCCUGGUGAUGAUGCGGAACAAACUGUCUCUGAAGCAGAAGGAGAAGAUGCUGGGGAAACUGACCCCGAAGAUGAUUAUCACCUUGCCACGCCAAGCAAACCUAGUCAUUUGGACUUCGGGAAAUCUACUGUUUCGAAGGCUGAAUUGUCCAAGAUGGUAAAAUCAGGCUAUUUUACUGAAAAUCAAAAGAAGCUAUUACGCUUCGGGGGAGAAGAGACUACCCCGAAGCCGGAGAAAGAUGAGAUUGUUAUUUUUAAGAGCUUCCUAAAGGCUGGAUUAAGAUUCCCCCUUCAAGGGAUUAUUGCAGAGAUACUGAAGAACUUCGGAAUUUAUUUUCACCAGCUAACCCCUAACGCUAUCGUUAGGCUCAGUGUUUACAUCUGGGCACUCCGAAGCCAAGCGGUAGAACCGUUUGCGGACAGCUUCUGCCGAGUUCACGAACUGCACUAUCAGACAAAGGCUAGGAAGGAUGGAUUACAUGAGAAUUUUGGUUGUUAUAAUUUUGCUUAUCGGAAAACUACGAAGUAUCCUGUGAUCAGCUACCGAAGCAAAUGGGCAGCAGGGUGGAAAUCAGAAUGGUUCUAUGUUAAGGUUGAUGAUGAUAAAGAAAAGCUUGUGCAAAGUCCAUUGGAACUGACCUUCGGAGAAACUCGCCCCCAGUGCCACAUGUUACCAGAGGGUCCAACUCAAAAAGCAAUGCUUGAAUUCAAAAUAAUUGCAGAGAAUAUCAGUACAAGGGACCUGGUCCAGGAAUUCUUGGCCUUCAAGGUUUUUCCUAGUGUAAAAGAGUGGGAAAUGCCGAAGCUGGAGGGGGAGAAGGAAAAAGGUGAACUUGUACGUUUGCCUUACUACUUCAAAUUUAAAAAAUAUUUUAAAACUCCUUGCCAAGAGUGGCUGGAUACAAUUGAAGUGAUGUGCAACGAGAUACUUGGUAAUUAUUCGAAAAAAGAAGAUCAAUUGAUGACCGCAGCCUUCGGCACCCGUUCGAAACGAAGGCUAAAUCGAGUAUUUGACGCCUUGGGUUUCGAAUACCCAGACUAUGAAGAUCUGAACAAAGGUGCCGGAGGGCAAAAAAGGAAAAGGGCGACUGAAGCCUUAGAUGAAGGUGAAAAAGAGCCAGUAAAGAAGAAAAUUUCAAAGAAAAAGAAACCUUCUUCUCCGAAGCAACAAAUAUCCGAAGCAGAAGAAACCCCCGCAUCACCUUCUGCUGCUGUUGUUGAAGAAAUUCUGAAGGUAAUGACUGAAUCCUUACCUGCGAAGCUAAGUCCACUGGGUCCUCAACUGACUAAGUUUUUUCAGAAGGACAAGGAGCCUGAGAAAUUGAGGAAAACAAUCAAGGGAAAGAAACAAAGAAUCAUUACCGUGACAGAGGUAAUUGACAAAACGCCGCCAAGAGCUUCGGCCCAAAAAACGCAAACAGCAGCAGAGGGGGCAGACAUUGAAAUUGCACCUUCGGAGGCCGCAGCCGCCGAAGUUACCUCGGCUGAAGAUUUAAAUUUAGAGAGCACAAUUGAACAUAUUGACCAAAUACUGCUAGACAUGGCUGCAGAAGAAGCCAACACUGCUGCCGAAGAGGCCAUGACUACAACGUCAAAGAAAGGAAAAGAAGUUGCUGAAGAAGCUUCGGAAGACGAAGCCUUCGUGUUCCAAAACUUAGUUGGAGGACACCUAUCAAAAGCUGAAAUAGAAGAACUUAAAGAAUACGCCCAAUCCUGUGGGUACAAACCUGGGGCACUCCUCUUCGGAGGCGUUGAUGAUGAGAAAUUAGAGUGUAUUCGGGACCAAACAGGGGCCAAAGUCAUCAGCACUCUGUCCAAGAGUAUUGGAUUCCCGAAGCUAGAAGCAGAUAUCAGCCGCUACCGACGACAACAUGUCGUUGGUAGUUUGUUUUACUCCAACUUCAAGGUAAAUGAUUUGUCCCUUAACUUUUAUUGCUUCUAAUAAAAACAUGUCUGACGAAGGUUGUGUUUGUGUAGAGUAUGCUAUUGAGCAAAGCCUUGCAAAUGCAGCAAGACCUUGAAGAUAAAAAGCAUGAAGUUAUAAUUGGAAAUUUGGAAAACAAAAUAAAGGAGCAAUCAGAUGCUUUUGAGAAAAAGAACUUUGAACUCCAGGCAGCUGAAGGUUUACUGGCGGAAGCUGAAGCAAAAAUAUCAGAACUGAACACGAAGUUUCUCCGCCAGUCUGAGCAGUUCGAACAAGAAAAACAAGAUCUCAAUGCAAAACUUGAAGCCGAAGCUCAGCAAAAUUCGGAUUUAAGAAAACUACUGACAAAUCUUCAAGACAAAUGCCUGGAAUUUAGCAACAAAUGCAUACAACGACUAAGAGAGAUUUUUCACUCAGUUGGAGCUAGCAGCGAAAAAUUUACCCCCUCAGCUGAAGAUCUACCAAAAACUUUCGAACACAUUGAGGGGGAGAUUGAAGAGCUCGACGAAGUCAUAGCCGGGCAUGGCGACUUCUGUGCCUGGGUGGCUUCUCGAGGGACUGCUGCAGCCUUCAUGAAGGCUGGCUGUGAUCAUGGGAAAAUUGUUAAUAGGCCAAAUUUUACUUUGUCACCAUCAAUCUUGGAUGACAUCCCUGAUCUCGCCCGAAGCAUCUCGAAUCGAUUUGUAAAAAUGAUAUGGACAAAAGGUGGUCGAGAGAAAGCUGGAGACGAAGCUCGUAGCCACCUUGAUCCAGUAAGAAAUCAUACCUUGUGCUUACCUUUUCUUGUAAACUUGAUUCUGACUUCCAACGACCUUAUUCAUGUAGGAUGACGAAGCCGAAGCUGAUGCUCAAAAAUAACGCCGAAGCCGAAGCUCCUUGGAGAUUUAGAUAGUAGAGUGCAGAUAAUACUUGAAAAACUUUUGAGAUAACUUUUAUAAAUGUAAACAAAAACUUGUUUUUAAUGUAUGCUGUUCAUACCUUGUAAUAUAUCCUUAACCUUUCACUGAUGUAUGAUAAAUGCUUCGAUGUGGACGAAAUUUCCUUUUUUGAGCCGAAGGCGAAAAAACACCUUCCCUUCUAUUCGUACGCAACGAAGCAUAGAAAACAAUAUUUUCCUUUUCUUCGAAGCUCUCCUUCAUAGAAAUUUUUUCCCUUUCUUUUUUCUUUUCUUGCCGAAGCAACCAUUUUAUGCGAUGAAGAUGAUUAUCCUACAUAUGCCUAGAUGAAUGUUUAUGAAUGCAAAUGCUAUGAUGUAAUGUGAUGUGCAAAUGAAUGGCCAAACACGUAUCCGAAGCCAUAUUCAUAGCCAUUAUUUUCUUAAAAACAUUCACACCUCAGCUCUGCAUUCCCUUAGGAACGACUUUGGAGCUUCUUUGCCUUUACUUUUGGCGAAAUCAGCGUUGACUUUUCGCUGUAAGCUCUGCAUUCCCUUAGGAACGUCUUUGGAGCUUCUUCGCCUUUUACUUAGGCGGUAUAAGCUCUGCAUUCCCUUAGGAACGUCUUUGGAGCUUCUUCGCCUUUUACGUAGGCGGUAUAAGCUCUGCAUUCCCUUAGGAACGUCUUUGGAGCUUCUUCGUUUUUACUUUUUGGCACUCGAUGGUGCACUCUCAGCUUUUACAUUUACAUUCUUUGGGGGAUUUUACUCUUAUAAGACUAGAAAAGGAAAUUACAUAUGCUGGCCCCAUUAAAAACCUUUCUCCCCCUUUAGAAAGGAAAAGGGUGCCAUGAAAGAAAAAAUAAAAAAUAUGAAAAAUUACAUCGAAUUAUACAUAAUACCGCCGAAGCUCAUCCGCAUUCCAAGAUCUAGGAAUGUCAUUGCCGUCCAUAUCUUUCAAUCUGUAUGAACCGGGCCUUGACGAAGAUGCUACUAAGAAAGGCCCGUCCCAUUUCAACUGCAAUUUGCCCACUGUUUCCGGGUUGGCCACCCUCCGAAGCACCAAGUGCCCCGGCUCAAUAUUUUUCAGCCGAACCUUUCUAUCCCGCCAUUUGACUGUUUCAGCUUGAUAUUUAUUAAUAUUCUCCACGGCUUGCAGUCUGAUCCCUUCUAGAGCAUCUUUUUCUAUAGAAUAAGCAGCUUCGGAAUCUGAUUCUGCCGAAGCUACUAUCCUUAUUGAUCCGGCUUUAGCUUCCUCUGGAGUUAUUGCUUCGUCACCGAAUAACAACUUAAAUGGAGUGAAGCCUGUAGACCUUGAUGAUGUCGUAUUGUGGCUCCACACCACUUUGGUUAGCUGAUCUGGCCAUUUUCCUCUAGGUUGAUUGAAGAUUAGCUUCAUUAUUCCUGUCAUUAUAAUGUCGUUGGCUCUUUCAACGAGUCCAUUUGACUCCGGGUGCCUGACUGAUGCAAAAUGGAUCUUCGUACCAAUUUGGUCACAGAAAUCCCUGAAAGCUUCGGAGUCAAACUGUGUUCCAUUGUCCACAGUGAUAGCCUUUGGCACCCCAAAACGACAAACAAUAUUCUGCCAGAAAAAUUUUUGGAUGGUAGCCGAAGUUAUUGUGGCUAAAGGCUUCGCCUCAAUCCAUUUAGAAAAGUAUUCCACAGCUACCACAACAUAUCUCAGGUUCCCUUGAGCCGGUGGUAACGGACCUAACAAGUCAAGGCCCCACCUUUGCAAUGGCCAAGUGGGUUGUAUGAGCUGUGUCAAGGACGAAGGUUGUUUUUGAUCUCUUGCACAUUUCUGACAACCUUCGCACUUUUGAACCAAUUCUGCUGCAUCCGAAGCUGCCUUCGGCCAAUAAAACCCUUGACGGAAAAUUUUCCCGAGUAACGGCCUAGAUCCAAUGUGAGAUCCACACAGGCCUGCAUGUAUUUCUUUCAUUAACUCUAUACCUUCGGUUCUGGAUAAGCAUUUGAGCAGCGGAGCACAAACUCCAUGUUUAUACAACUCCCCUUCUAUCAUGACAUAUGGGCGAGCUCUUGCUUCUAUCCUCUUGUUAUAAGCUUCGUCAUCUGAAAGAAAUUUACCCUGAAGGUAAGAGAUUAUCUCGGUUCUCCAAUCUUCGCUAAAAACAGGAGAUAUAUUAAGAACUGCUCUUUCAAGAAGUUCCACCGAAGGUGCUUUUAUUGUUUCGAAAAAUACAUCCGAAGGUAAAGGCAACCCUUGUGCUGCUGACUUAGCUAGCAAAUCAGCAUGCUCAUUUUGUCCUCUAGGGAUAUUUUUGACAGAAAACCCUUCGAAGGAAGCUUCAACUCUUCGAACCAUAUCCAGAUAUUUUUCAAGCUUCGGAUCCUUAGCCUUGCAACUUUUGUCAAUAUGACCCGAAACAACCUGGGAAUCAGUUUUAAGUAUGGCUCUUCUGAUUCCCAUUGCUUUUAACUUUCGAAGACCUAAAAUCAAUGCUUCGUACUCAGCAAUGUUGUUUGUGCAAUUAAAAUCAAGCUUUGCUGCAUAACAAGUUUUGACUUUGGAAGGUGAAACCAACACAGCAGCCGCUCCUGCUCCGAAGGUUCCCCAAGAUCCAUCACAAAACACUGUCCAGGCUUCGUUGUCUUUAUUUGUUUCCUCCUCCUGAGCCCCUGGCGUCCAAUCAGCAAUAAAGUCUGCCAGUGCCUGUGACUGAAUCGAAGAUCUAUGAACAUAUUCAAUACAAAAUUCAUUGAGCUCUGCAGCCCAUUUUCCAAUUCUUCCAGUAGCUUCUCGGUUCCUCAUAAUAUCCUUCAGAGGUUGUGAAGAAGGAACAAUUAUGUUGUAAGCUUGGAAAUAGUGCCGAAGCUUCCUGGAGGCCAUCAAGACAGCAUACAGUAUCUUCUCCAACUCUGUAUAAUUUUUCUUUGAUAAACUAAGGACUUCGGAAACAAAAUAUAUUGGGGCCUGCCUUCUGACUUGACCAUCAAGCUUCUCUUGGACAAGCGCUGCACUUACCGCUGAGUGCGAGGCUGCCACAUAUAAUAAUAAAGGAGCCCCUGGCAUUGGUGGAGUCAGUGUUGUUAGAUCUAUCAAAUACUGUUUCAGUUCUUCGAAAGCCUUCUGCUGGAUUGGUCCCCAUUGAAAGACUUCGGCCGACUUCAGCACUUCGAAGAAUGGUAAAUUUCUCUCUGCUGAUCUGGAUAUGAAUCUAUUGAGAGAUGCCAAUCUUCCUGUCAAUCUUUGAGCCCCCUUCUUUGUAGUUGGUGGCUCCAUCCGAAGUAUAGCUUCAAUUUUACUUGGAUUGGCUUCAAUUCCCUUUGUUGAAACCAAGCAUCCAAGAAAUUUCCCCUUCUUCACUCCGAAGACACAUUUUUCUGGAUUUAACUUUAAGCCAGCUUGCCUGAAACUGGCGAAGGUCUCCUGCAGAUCAGCAAUAUGAUUCUCCUGCUUCGUGCUUUUGACAAUGAUGUCAUCAACAUAAGUUAGCACAUUUCUGCCUAUUUGAGAUUGAAGAACCUUCGCAGUCAUUCGGCUAAAACUUCCUCCAGCGUUUUUGAGCCCCUCAGGCAUCCGAAGAUAGCAAUAUGUGCCACUUGGAGUGAUGAAGCUAGUCUUCGGCUCAUCUUCCUUCUUCAUCCAAAUCUGGUGAUAGCCUGAAUAGCAGUCUAACAGACUCAUGAGCUCUGACGAAGCUGCUGCAUCAACUAAAGAGUCUAUCCUUGGUAGUGGGAAUUCAUCCUUCGGACAAGCCUUGUUAAGAUCUGUAAAAUCGAUGCACAUUCGCCACUUGCCAUUGGCCUUUUUUACCAUAACAGUGUUAGCCAGCCAUUCUGGAUACUUCACCUCUCUAAUGACUCCUGCACUGAGGAGUCUUUUGACUUCGUUGCGAGCACCUUCGGCCUUAUCAUCUGACAUUUUCCGAAGCCUUUGCUUUCUGGGUCUGAAGGAUGGAUCGACAUUGAGCGAGUGCUCGAUAACAUCUCUAUUAACUCCACAAAGAUCAUUGGCUGACCAUGCAAAAACAUCCUUGUUAUUGAACAAAAACCUUAUCAAGGUUUUCUCUUGCUCUUCGGAUAACUGAGAUCCUAACAGCACCUUCUGCUCUGCUAUGUCCUCACAUAAGAGCAUAGGCUUCGGCUGAUCUGCUGAAGCUGCUUUCUCCCUCCUGAACUUGUACUGUUCACAAGCUUCAGCUCCAUCUAUGUUAUGGAUUGCUUUUGAGUCAGUCCAAUUGCCUUCGGCCCUUCUUGCAGCUUCCUGACUUCCAUGGAUAGCAAUGGGUCCCUGAUCCGAAGGUAUCUUCAUGCAAAGAUAGGCAGGAUGAAGGAUUGCUUCGAAGGCAUUAAGAGUACCACGACCAAUAAUUGCAUUGUAAGGAUAUUCCAUGUCAACAAUGUCAAACACAACUUGCUCAGUUCUAGUGUUGUUGAUGAAUCCGAAGGUGACUGACAUGGUGAUCUUGCCCAAUGCUACAAUUUGUCUUCCUCCGAAGCCACAAAGAGGAUGUGUAGCAUCAUGAAUCUUAUCUUCUGGCUCUUGCAUUUGUCUGAAGGCCUUAGCAAAUAUGAUGUCAGCUGCACUGCCUGUGUCAACCAAGACAUUGUGGACCAGAAAUCCUUUGAUAACACAAGAGAUAACCAUGGCAUCGUUGUGUGGGUAAUCUUUAAGCUGAAGGUCCUCUUGAGAGAAGGUGAUAGGAAUGUGAGACCAUCUUGACUUGAUGAAGGGUCCUUGCACCCCAACAUGCUGUACCCUUCUCUGUGCUUCCUUCUUCUGCUUCUUGUUAGCUGGCUCUGAGGACGAGCCACCUGUGAUCGGGAGCACCAGCUUCGGGUCCGAAGCAGCUCCAGUUUGGUCGUUGAACGAAGCCAUCAGCUCAAAAAGUGGAAGUGAGUUCACCGGAGGUGGGCGCCAAUGUUGGGGACUUGUUCUCAAAUGCUAUGAAUUAAGAACAAGGCAACAUAAAAUGUUAAAUGAAAUUGUCCUUCGUCCGCGAAGCAUUAUUCCUUUGAGGAUAAUGAAUCCUGGACGAAGGUUGAUGAGAAUCUUAUUACGAAGUUGAACCUUCGUAAUAAACUUUUAAUAAGCGUUAUAAAAUAAUACAAAAUAAAAGGUAUAAGAUGGAUAAAUGUCUCACAGAUACAUCAUAUCAUAUUUACCUAAUAUAUUGAAUUAUUAAAUACAAUAAUACCUAUGCCUUGACAAAGGUUGAAUUCCGAAAGAUGCAAUUGCAAAUGCCAGAAUGCGUGAACAGUAACGGAAUACUGUUCACUAUUUAUAGGCACAGGACGCAGCCUGUGAGGAAUUACAAGUAUGCCCCUUAUAAAAACUUACAACAUUGACUCAGACCUUUAUGGACUAAAAGGUCAUUCUAUCUUUAAGUCGUUUGUAAUGCCGAAGCUCUGCGAAGAGGCACCUUCGGCUAUCUUGUACGAACAGCUUCAUCCGAGGAUUACUUCUUUCUAUAAGACCUUCGGCGACGAAGCAUAGACCCAACAAAAAGUCUUCCUUACCUAAUUUCUUUUAUCCCAAAUCUUCUCUAAACUCACCUAAUAGCUAAAACCUGAUGUACAUUUGUUUUCUAUGCCACACCUACUAAUGGCAUGAAAAUUUUAGGUGUAUAAAAAAUAUAUAUUGGAAGUUCCACUUAAAAAAUACUAGAAUUUCAUAAAUAUAAACUCAGCUUGAUAUGCUCAACUAGACGAUAUUUUUAAAUAGGAUUAUAGAAUCUAAUGGGAUCUAAACUAUUAUGAUCUAAUCUAGUGUGAGACACUUAACAAGUUAACACUAGUGAAAUAAACUAGAUCCUACUCCUAUAAACCUUGUUCUCCCCUCAUGCACUUAAACCUAAAAUUAGUGCAUUAAACCAACUCAACCGUGAGUAGAAGAGAUAACCCAAUCAAUAGAGUCAUGAUGGAUUGCAUAAUCUAUCCGUCCCCACCAAAUGUCAAACAAGAUUUUGACCUACAUCCUAUAGUCUAUCUCGACCAUAUCUAUCUUAACCAUAUUCCCCAACUCCGAUGAUAUACACUAACCUCGAAUCAAUGAGACAAAGACCGGAGAAGAAAACAUCAACGUCGACAAGGAAGGAUAUAAUAGUCAAAGCGAAUCGCGAGAUGAGGCAAGACUUAAACAUUUCGGACGAAGUCUUUUCCUUGCCAUAAUCUUUCUUACCUCGACCUGUCCAACUUAUAUCCUACAUAAUAAGUAGCUGGAUACCUAUGCUCUCCUAAUCACACAUUAUUGGCUAUAAAAAUGUGACUCUGAACUUUUGAACCAAUUAUAGAUUAAAAGCUGAAUUACAAACCAAUCCUUCUGUAUCCCUUUUCUUACAAAUCUCGAGGACGAGAUUUCUGUUAAGGGGGUAGGAUUUGUAAGACCUAAAUUUGGUAGAAGAAAUAUAUAUAUAUAUAUAUAUAUAUAUAUAUCAUAAAAUAAAAUAAAGAAAUAAAAAUGAUAGUGUUCCUAAGAAUUGACAUUCCUUGUUCAUAAUCAACUUAAGAUAAUAAAAUAGUCAUAUGAAAAAAAGUGGGCACCUCAUGCUUAUGGAUUUGGGGUGGCACAUUUUAUUGAAAUAAGGAGUCAUAAUUUAAACUUGAUCUAAAAACUUUAAAUGAAAACAUAAAAUAGAAAUUGAGGAAAGAAAUUUUAAUGAAGUCAUUUAAGACUUUUUCAUAAAUAAAUAAUGGGGAAAAGAAUGAAAGUAAUAUUCUUGCAUUCAUGCUGAAGUUUUUGAGUUAUGUAUUUGAUUUUGAGUUACACUUUGAAAACAAAUGAUAAUUUAAAAUCUAAUUUGGAAAACUUGAAAAUAUAAAACAAAAGGGAAAUAAGAAAAGAGAAAGGGAAUUGUAUUAAAGUCAUUUACCAUUGCUAGAAUUAAAUAAUGGGAAGAAGAAAUUACAAGAAGUAAAAGUAUUAUUCUAGUAAGAAUUGUGAAUUCAAAGUUCCAACAUGAAUUUGAAUUUAGUUUUGGAAUCUGAAAAAUAAGAUAAAAUAGGAAACAAAAUGAAAACAAAAAUAAAUAAAAAAGGGGAAGACUCCAUUUUUGCGCCUGGGCCGAAUUCGGCUCCCCGGCCAGCCCAACUUGGCCUCGCGCGCGCUCUGUGUCACCUGGGCCGCGCACCUUGUGUCACCGCCGUGUGGGCCCUAGUGGCUAGCGGCUCCACACGCUAGCCCACCCGUUAUAGACCGCUUUCCCCAUUUCCACCCACGCCGCCACGCGCGCACCGUGACAUUAGCACGCGGGCCGCAUAGUCAUCCACACAGCGCGCCCCUCAUUGACAUGUGGGACCAAUGCCCAGGCGGGGGAAAGACCCUUCUUCCACUGGCCGCCGCGCCGUGUAGCAACCUGUGAGGACCGCGCCUGGAGCUCCGCCUUCGCCGGGAAUCAGUUGCGUAUUGGAGCUAUUCUCGCGGGGGAAGUGGGAGGCAUAAGAACACCUGUUGCUGCCUCCUCAGUAUUCCUCCCUCUAGCCACAGCCGAGAACCUGGAAGCCAAGGCCUCCCUCAUCUCUCUCCCAACAUCGACGCUGUCCGCUGGUGCUCGCGUCUCCCUGUCCUCUAGCGCAUGUGCGUCAUGGUACACGAAUUCCCUUCUCCCUUGCGCGCGCCGGUUGCCUCCACCGCUGGUCGUGCGCCGCUGUCAACCUUCCUCACCGGUCGCAGCUCCUCGACGGCCGUCCCUGACCCCACCUUGGCGCAGCGCCGCUGGGAGCGCGGUCUGGGCAAGCCUUCAGGUUGCAUCGUGGGAUGCCGCGGCUCGGGCAAGCGAUAUUGAGGAACCCUGGGUUCCGUUGGGAUCAGCUCGCCGGGAUGCACGGAUUUUGUCGCAGGAUGGGAGAAUCCACCGCUGGGUCGCCGCUGUUCGCGCGGACACCGUCGAGGCCAUGGUGCUCCAAGCUACAAAUCUGGGUGAGAACCUCCUUCUCGGAUCCGCCUCCAUCGUCUAACUGUGUAGCACCCAUCAUGGUGAGGGAUCGUGUGCCGGGGGCGAGGAUCGUGCGCUCGCCGGUGAUGGCGCGACGUGGAUUGAGCGGCGUCGCCGCGUCUGUACGCGGAUGAGGAAAACCUGUGCCCAGUCGUUGGAUCGAAAGGGUGCGGCCAGGAUUAGAAGGUAGCUUACCCCUUCGUUUAAGAGAACACUGACCGUAGAUCUGUGAUCCGAUGAAUACAAUUCGAUCUCGGUUAUUUAGGAUCCGAGCCGUAGAUAUAGGAUCCAGCGGCAUCAUUGUGUCCUGGUUCCGGGGGGAUUGGAUCUAAUCGUAAGUGUUGAACCCAAAUCCAACGGCUUUGGUCACCCGAUACCCCUUCGGCUGUAGUAUUUUGCUAAAGAGCCCCUGGCACCUUUAAAAAUCAACCCGCAGUUCUCGGAUCCUGUUCACUCAGUCUUAGGAAGCUUGCGCAGAGGCCCCUGUCUUCUCUGGAAAUUGAGGCACAGUUCAGACAGCGAGAAAAACCUAUAAAAUCAUUUAGAAAAUGAAUUUUUAAUAUGAAAACAAUUCCUAGAACUUGUGUAAUUCAUAGAAAAUUCAUAUUAAAUCCAAAUUAAUUCAUUCAAGUUUCUAUAAUUUUGUAAUAUUAUUUUUUAUCACCUAGUGUCUCUGUUGUGACAUGAAAGCCAUAAUAAAAUUGAUCUCCUAAUUAAUCUUGUAUCAAAAACAUAAAACCUUUGGAAAUUCAUAACUUCCUCAUUUUAACUCCGAAUUGAAUCGUUCCAGUUGCGUUAGCUUCAUAUGAAUAUUUACUAUGUGAUAACAAUAUUUAUUGUAUUAUAUCUCAUUCUUUUAUAACUAGAUCUUUAUUUAACUUAUGUUGGCUAGUCUUGUUAAUCUGCUUAUCAUUAUAAUCUACUAAAAUAUGAUCUAUGGUCAAUUUAUAAUUUAGAUUAAAGUUGAAUUAAUUACUAAUUUAGGUUAUCUUUUCUCUGGAGUUAUAAAAUAAACAUAGAACCUAGUUUUAAUCAUUUAAUCACAUCAUAGCUUGAUGACCGUAACUCCGAUUUUAGUGGUUCUCGAUCCCAUGAUCUCGUUGCGACGCGUAGAUCAUUAUUAUGCAGUUUAUUCUUAUGUUUGGUAUGAUGUUAAUUUUGUCUAUACUGUUGGAACUUGCUCUCUUGGGCAAGUUGAUCCAACGGGAAAGUAGAAAGAGUGUUUGCAAAGUUUGACGAGGAAUGCCAAAAGCUUCGUUCAUCUCUCGUGUGAGGGCAUUGUGAAAGUCGCCUAGAGGGGGGGUGAAUAGGGCGAAUCUGAAAUUUAUAAACUUAAGCACAACUACAAGUCGUGUUAGCGUUAGAAAUAUGAACGAGUCCGAAAGAGAGGGCGAAAAACAAAUCACAAGGACCACCACACAAUUGGUGUCUCUUGCCUCGGUUACAAUUGAGUUGAUCACAAGAAAGAAUGAGAAAAAGAAGCAAUCCAAGCGCAAGAGCUCAAAUGAACACAAGUCACUCUCUCACUAGUCACUAUUUGAUUUGGAAUGAACUAUGGACUUGGGAGAGGAUUUGAUCUCUUUGGUGUGUCUUGUAUUGAAUGCUAAAGCUCUUAUAAGGUGUAGGAAGUUGGAAAACUUGGAUGCAAUGAAUGGUGCGGUGGUUGGGGUAUUUAUAGCCCCAACCACCAAAAGUGGCCAUUGGGAGGCUGUCUGUCGCAUGGCGCACCGGACAGUCCGGCCACGUCAGCCGGUCAUUGGGUUCUGACCGUUGGAGCUCUGACUGGUGGGGCCUCUAGGCUGUCCGGUGGUGCACCAGACAGGUCCUGUAGACUGUCCGGUGCCCCUUCUGCGCGUGCUCUGACUCUGGCGCGCACUGUAGCGCAUUUAAUGUGGUUGCAGUCGACCGUUGGCGCGAAGUAGCCGUUGCUCCGCUGGCACACCGGACAGUCCGGUGUGACACCGGACACUGUCCGUUGCUUCACCGGACAGUCCAGUGAAUUAUAGCGGAGCGGCCUCCCAUUUUCCCGAAGGUAGCGAGUUCAGCGUCAAGUUCCCUGGUGCACCAUACACUGUCCGGUGGUGCAUCGAACACUGUCCGGUGGCACACCGGACAGUCCGGUGCGCCAGACCAGGGUGCCUUUUGGGAUGUCUUUAGUUCUCUUUAUUUGAACCCAUCUUUGGACUUUUUAUUGGCUUGUUGUGAACCUUUGGCAUCUAUAAAACUUAUAGACUAGAGCAAACUAGUUAGUCCAAUUAUUUGUGUUGGGCAAUUCAACCACCAAAAUCAAUUUAGGAAAAGGUGUAAGCCUAUUUCCCUUUCAAUCUCCCCCUUUUUGGUGAUUGGUGCCAACACAAACCAAAGCAAAUAUAGAAAUGCAUAAUUGAACUAGUUUGCAUAAUUGUAAGUGCAAAGGUUGCUUGGAAUGAAACCAAUAUAUUCUCAUAAGAUGCGCAUGGAUUGAUUUCUUUUUCACUAUCAACAUUUUGGACCACGCUUGCACCACAUGUUUUGUUUUUGCAAAUUCUUUUGUAAAUUGUUUUAAAAGUCCUUUUGCAAAUAGUCAAAGGUAAAUGAAUAAGAUUUUGAGAAGCAUUUUCAAGAUUUGAAUUUUCUCCCCUUGUUUUCAAAUGCUUUUCCUUUGACUAAACAAAACUCCCCCUCAAUAAAAUCCUCCUCUUAGUGUUCAAGAGGGUUUUAGAUAUUAGUUUUUGAAGAGGGUGUUCCAAUUUGAAAUUCUAUCAAAAAUAAGAUACUAAUUGAAAAAUUUAUCAUUUCAAAAUCUUUUCUUAACUCAAAUUUUGAAAAUUGGUGGUGGUGCGGUCCUUUUGCUUUGGGCUAAUACUUUCUCCCCCUUUGGCAUGAAUCGCCAAAAACGGAUACUUGAGUGAAAUAUAAGCCCUUUGGAACUACUUUCUCCCCCUUUGGCGAACAAAAUAUGAGUGAAGAUUAUACCAAAGUUUGAGAGUUGCGCGGAGCGACGGCGAAGGAUGAGUAAUUUGAUGGAGUGGAGUGGAAGCCUUUGUCUUCGCCGAAGACUCCAAUUCCCUUUCAAUAUCUAUGACUUGGUUUGAAAUACACUUGAGAACACAUUAGUCAUAGUAUAUAAAAGAGAUAUGAUCAAAGGUAUAUUGAUGAGCUAUGUGUGCAAACCAUUAAAAGAAAUUCCUAGAAUCAAGAAUAUUUAGCUCAUGCCUAAGUUUGGUAAAUGUUUGUUCAUCUAAUGGCUUGGUAAUGAUAUCGGCUAAUUGUUCUUUGGUGUUAAUAUAUGUAAUCUCGAUAUCCCCCUUUUGUUGGUGAUCUUUUAGAAAAUGAUACCGAAUGGCUAUGUGUUUAGUGCGGCUAUGCUCAACGGGAUUAUCCGCCAUGCGGAUUGCACUCUCAUUAUCACAUAGAAGAGGAACUUUGGUUAAUUUGUAACCAUAGUCCCUGAGGGUUUGCCUCAUCCAAAGCAAUUGCGCGCAACAGUGGCCUGCGGCAAUAUACUCGGCUUCGACGGAAUUUUGCUUCUUUGAAGCCCAAGACACCAGAGACCUUCUCAAGAACUGGCAAGUCCCCGAUGUGCUCUUUCUAUUAAUUUUACACCCUGCCCAAUCGGCAUCCGAAUAACCAAUUAAAUCAAAUGUGGAUCCCUUAGGGUACCAAAGGCCAAACUUAGGAGUAUAAACUAAAUAUCUCAAGAUUCGUUUUACGGCCCUAAGGUGAGCUUCCUUAGGAUCGGCUUGGAAUCUUGCACACAUGCAUACAGAAAGCAUAAUGUCCGGUCGAGAUGCACAUAAAUAGAGUAAAGAACCUAUCAUCGACCGGUAUACCUUUUGAUCUACGGAUUUACCUCCCGUGUCGAGGUCGAGAUGCCCAUUAGUUCCCAUGGGUGUCUUGAUGGGCUUGGCAUCCUUCAUCCCAAACUUGCUUAGAAUGUCUUGAGUAUACUUCGUUUGGCUAAUGAAAGUGCCCUCGUGGAGUUGCUUCACUUGAAAUCCCAAGAAGUACUUCAACUCCCCCAUCAUAGACAUCUCGAAUUUUUGUGUCAUGAUCCUACUAAAUUCCUCACAUGUAGAUUCGUUAGUAGACCCAAAUAUAAUAUCAUCAACAUAAAUUUGGCAUACAAACAAAUCAUUUGCAAGAAUUUUAGUAAAUAAAGUAGGACCAGCCUUUCCGACUUUGAAGCCAUUAGUGAUAAGAAAAUCUCUUAGGCAUUCAUACCAUGCUCUUGGGGCUUGCUUGAGCCCAUAAAGCGCCUUAGAGAGUUUAUACACAUGGUUAGGGUACUCACUAUCUUCAAAGCCGGGAGGUUGCUCAACAUAGGCCUCUUCCUUGAUUGGUCCGUUGAGGAAGGCACUUUUCACGUCCAUUUGGUAAAGCUUAAAACCAUGGUAAGUAGCAUAGGCAAGUAAAAUGUGAAUUGACUCAAGACUAGCUAUGGGUGCAUAGGUUUCACCGAAAUCCAAACCUUCGACUUGUGAGUAUCCUUGGCCACAAGUCGGGCUUUGUUCCUUGUCACCACACCAUGCUCAUCUUGCUUGUUGUGGAAGACCCACUUGGUUCCUACAACAUUUUGGUUAGGACGUGGAACUAAAUACCAUACCUCAUUCUGUCACACCCGGGUUUUAGGGGCACCAAGACCCGGGCGCGAACAUAAUCACCAGGUGUGCUGGGACCAAGUCUCACACAUAUGAUGAAUCAUGGCAUAGGAUCGAAUGUCAUAUCUUUACUAUAUAAUAGGAGUUCUAUACAAAAUAAAUAAUUACAUUAUAAGGAGACAAUGGUCCAGCAACCCAAAGUUGACUGGGAGACGACGACCUAGACCUCUCACGAACUCGCCACAGCAUCCUCCAUGCGCCUCAUCCUGCGGUACCUGUUCUUGACCUGUGGGGGGGUGUGAGACAGCAAGAGUGAGCUCACAUACGUUCAUCGCUCAACAAGUUGUGGGGAAUAAUGUGCAUGAACUCGCCAAAGGUGGGAGCUCACGUGAAGUGUAAGGCUUACCAAAGAGGAUGGUUGAAGCUGAGCAUUGCUUUUAAAGUUGGUCAAAAUUUUAUUAGCAAUUACUAAGUAUAAGUAAAUACUAACCCAAUUAAGUAGUAGAACAAAAGUAACAACCUCACCUGCGAUGCAAUGCAUAUGACAAAUUGAGUUUAAGUUCCAUAAUUUAAUCAUGUGAGUGUCCGAGCUGCUCAUGACCGUGAGCACGGCUAGUAUACCAGUUUUACACUCUGCAGAGGUUGCACAUCUUUACCCACAAGUCAUGUUACCCAUCUGCCAAGGGAUCGCGACUUCCCAUACACCUCUACCGAGGAGGCGAGGCAGGGUAACACUACGAGGCCUUUACAAAGUUCCACUAGCUUCAGAAAACCCGCUACAGUUUAUAGGAAGCUCCAAUGCAGGGUUCUUGCCUGACCGCCAUCGCAGCAAAAUCAACCAAGGACCUCCCUACACUGACCACUCCCCUACUGCCCUUGCCCCUUUCGGGUAAGGUAGUCCUCCACUAGCUUUCCUAAUUAAUCAGCCAAGGGCAUCCAUAAACCCUUGUGGUAGCACUGUUUUCCCGGGUGGUUCUCCAUGUUCCAAUUAACAUAAUGAUCUUAUCAUGAACAGUAAAUAACAACUGAUAAUAAAAGUAUAAUCAUGAAUAAAAUGUAUCUCCAUACCCAAAACCACAUAAAGCAAUAACAGGUACUACCCGAAAAUCCAGUGGUGAACAAGGUAUAAAGAUAGUCAAACUAGGGUAACCUAUUGGGUCCCAUCAAAAUUAACCUAUGCAGAUCAUUAUGAUUAAUUAGAACAUGACUGGGUAAAAAGAAGUGAUCAAGGGCACAACUUGCCUGGGACUUGAGAUUCCAGGUACCAACUUGCUCUUCAGAUGACACGUGUCCUCACUGCUAAACGUAGCAAUACAGACAAACAUGGUAUAGGCAAAAUGAACAUCACAUCAAACAUAUAAACAAAAUACACAGUAAUAAUCUACAUAUUAAAAUAGAAUCCUAGGAACAGAAAUCAUAAUUUUUGGAGCUAUAGAUUUUAAGUUAUGAAUUUUCAAAGGUUUCAUGUGUUUUAAAUAGGAUUAAGUGAGAAAUAAAUUUUAUUACUGUUUUCAUGACAAAACAGAGACUCUAAGUGAUAGAGAAUUAAAUUACAAAAAUUUAGAAAGUGGAAUGGCUCAAUUUGGACCAAGUAUGGAUCUUCUAUGAUUUUUACAAGUUCUAGCACUAAUUUAUAUAUUAAAACUCCAUUUAAAAUUUAACUUCUCUGGUUUAACACUAUUCUGAAUUGGGCCACAAUUUCUAGAAAGUCCAGGGGCCUAAUCCAAAGUUUUCUAAGACUCAGUGAAUAAUCCGAGUGGACGGCGGGUUGGUUUCUUAGUUUCCCGAGGACUCUUUAGCAAAAUAUGCAAGCCGAAGGGGUAUCCGAUGAUGUGGGCCACCCGAUCGGCCUCCAACGCUCCAGAUUAAAUCGCAGUACUAAUGAAGCGGUACGCAAUGCCCUCCAGUGGAUUGCGAUCCUACGGCGCAGAUUUAAUUUCACCCAGAGCCACCCGAUCCAUCCGAUCGGAUAUUAACGGCUCAGAUUUAUUCUCUCGAAUCGUUAUCGCGAUCUAAUCGGGGCCGUUCCCUGGGAGAUCAAUGGCCCACAACCCAUCGUCUCCAAACCGCACCCUUACGCGGCGGCGGCGCCCCGCCCGCGGCGCGCCCUCGUCGGGGGGGGGGGGGGUGACCAAUCCGCACGCACACGCCCCGAUCUCACAAACUGAGAGCACAUACGCGAUGCCGAGUGAAAAGCGAACCCAGGAGAGGGAUUCUUACCGUGGGUAGCAGCACAGAGAGCUCCGGCCACGGCGUCGUGCGGGUCCGCCGUGGAGUUGGUGCGACGGCGAGAAAUUCCUUGCUCGCAGUCCCCGAAUCGCGUCCGAUGAGGGCACCAGAAACUCCGAGACGCCCCAACGAAGUCCCCGACCUCCGUCCGAGGCUAGAGCGUUGACUCGGGCGUGUAAUCACGGCGGCGGCGGAACUCCCUCACACACGGCGCGCACGACAUUAGGCGAUGGCGGUGUCUAGUAUGAACUGCGAGAGCAAAGGGGAGAAACAGGUUGCGGCUAGGGCCCUUUUAUACGACGAGAUGGUGCGCAGGUCCCGGUAACGGAGUCCGAGGUCACCGGCGAGCACCACCGCGGAUUUCGCGAGCUUAGUUGCCGCGGCCGCACGGUGGCUGGUGACAGGCGGGCCCCACAUGUAAGCCACGCGGAAAAAAGGGAGAGCGAGGCGCCCAGGCUGACGCGUGGGUCCGGCUGCGCGGUGAACUAACGUUGGCCGAGCGGGUAGGCUUAAGUGGGCCGAUGCGAGGGGAGUAAGGUUGGAUGGGCCGAAUUCAGGCUGGCGGCCCAGAUGAGCUUUUCUCCUUUUCUCUUUAUUCUUUUCUUUUCUCUAUUCCUUAUUUCCAAAUUCCAUUUUAAAUUCAGAUUUAAAUUCAAAUCUUGUGCCAGAUUAUCUUCAAAUUAUAUUUGUGAAAUAAAAGUACCAAUUUUUUUUGAAAUAUAAUUAUAUAUAUGUUAUUUAUAUUUUUAUAUCCUUUAUUCCUUUUCUCCAUAUUUCUAGAAUCCCCUUUAACUCUUAAUUUCCCACUUUGGGACUUCAAUAAUUUUCUUGUCACAUUAUCUUUAUAUUGUCACAAAAUGCACACAAAAAUAAAAUCUCAGCAAGAUGCAAUGAUUUAGUGGCAUUUACUUUAGAAUUAACUUUUUUUAAAAAAAUAUGGUGUCCACAUAUAAUGGCACAAAAAGUUCAAACUCCCACAUAGGUAAAGUGAACUUGUUUCUCCCUUUGGUAUUAGCUCUUGCAUAUUACAAAUUGGGUAUUACAAAUCCUACCCCCCUUAAAAAUAAUCUCGUCCUCGAGAUUUGUAAGAGAAAGGAUAUAUAUACUCAUAUUGUUGUGGGAACAUAUGCACAAACAAAGAAAUCUCAGCAUGAUGCGUAACUUAUUAGCAAAACAAAGGGUCAAAUCGACCUUAUUAUUAUUCCUAAAAUAGUAAAAUACGAACUACUGGCCAAACUAAUAUUUAGGUCUUACAAAUAGUAAAAUAUAUAUAUAUAUAUAUGUAUCUAUAUUUAUGUUUAUCUCUAUUCUUGUUGUUCUUUGACUUCUUCACCGACUACUUCAUCUUCAACUAGCUCUUCUUCUUGAAUUUCCAGAUCACCUGGUUCAACCUCUACUUCUGCAUGAUGGGCAUGUCCCCGGUUGAUAGAUAGUGGCUGACUCUUUCCUGCCGAGGCUUGUCCUUGC
rnacentral:lncRNA from 1 species